AUUAGUAAGUGUCCUUUUCAUCUGUUAUCUCCAUCUAUUUUAAUUUUUCCUUUUGAGUUUAUCUGGAUACAAACUAGCCAUACCAGGCCUUAUAGACAAUUGUUUUUGUUAUUACUAUCAAUGUUUAAGUAUGGCUUGAAGGGUGUGAGCAAUGAUGUGGAGAGAUGAGAUGCUUGUCACUGUGUGUGGAGGAAAGAAUGCGUGGACUGAUAAGUAACCUGAUUAGAAUAUCAAAACAGCGGGUUGAUUUUGAGAAGACAAGACAUCGGACUGUUGUCACCUUAGAUGUUCAGCCGCAAAUCAUGACAAUAAAUAGGAAAGUAAGAGAGGAGUGGGAGAAAA